ACCACUGCUCCGCAGUGCCACACCGUCGUCGCUCCUCUGGCCACCUCCUACGGCGACCCCCCCGCUCGAGCCCGCUGCCAGGCCGGCGCCGGAUCCACACCGACCGAAACCCCACUGAAGCUCCCCGGCGUCGGCCCUCCCCAUCGACCCUCUCCAAAUCCGGCCGCCGGGACCAACCCCGUCGCCGGAACACCGUCGUCGCCUCCCCAUCAUCGUCGGUCGCCACCCUUCCUCGAGUCCACUGCCAUCUCGUCACCGCUCGAUGUGAGCCCCCAGGGCUCCUCCCUCUCCCUCUCCUCCCGCUGCUUAAUGAUGUCGCCACGCUACACACCGUGCCCCGCAGCCCACCGGCAAGCCCCGCGCCGUUGCCAGUGCGGCCUAUGGGCCCUGGUUGUCGGCACCCCACCACGGUCGGCCCCCGUCGCCGGCUCGCCCGAUGCCCCCUCGACGGGGCCCUUCUCCCCUCCACUCGCCGAUUUGGUUAGUGGGGUGCUAACCACCCCCACUAACCCCGUGGUCCAAUGCCAUAUAGGGCCAUCCUCCCCCCCCCACUCUCUAUGAGAGAGGGGGCCCACGACCCCCCUCUAAACUAUUAAAAAAACAGGAUUGAAAAUAAAUAUAUAUAAAUGUUUUAAGAAAAUGAUAAUAACAAAAUAUUAACAAUAAUAAUAAUAAAAGUAAAUAAAUAAUUAGUUAUAUUAAUUAAUUAGUUAAUUAAUUAAAUAUAUAAUUAAUUAUUAAUUAGACUAGUUAAUUAGUGUGUCAAUUAGUUAAUACUGUUCUAGGUCAAAUAGAAAAAUUAAUUAAAAGUUGUUAAUUAAUUCUGUUAAUUAAUUAACCUGAACAGUACUACAGGUGGGUCCCACCCCCACUAAUUAACCUGAUUAGUAUUAAUUAAACCUCAAUUAAUAAAUGUGUCUAUGACACAUGGGACCCACUGGUUAGUUUGACAAGUCAAAUCCUGUUGACUAUUGAUGUCAGCAUGACAUCAUGCUGAUGUAAUAAUUGCAUUUAAUUGAAAUAAUUUAAUAUGUUUUAAUUUCUGAAUAUUGAUUAAAUCUUUAAAAAUUAAUAUAAAAUAAGCCAAAGCUGAGAUGAAAAUAUUUUGAACAUGAAAGUUGAUCACCAGAACGAGACGAACCCGGAUACACUAUCCGUUCGUUUGUCACGCGUCCCUAGCAUAGAAAACGUGGAACUUCUCCACCAUUUUUCGUCCGACCGGUAGUAGCCAAAGGCUCGGGAAAUAUCAUCCGAUAUUUUCCCGAUCCGUCUAUGACCGAUAGCACUGCGUUAGAUCAUGCCUAGACCUGCAUAUGGCCAUGUCAUGCUUAGUGUUGCAUGUGUUACUGUUAUUUAUUGUUUCUUCCCCCCUUUUCUUAUCGGUAGACCCUGAGACUAACACUGCUGCCGGGUACAACUAACAUCCUGACGACCAGACCUUUGCCGCAGAGCAACAAGGCAAGCAAACCCCCGUUGAUCAUCCCUAUAUCGCCCAUGUCUUUCUCCCUCCUGCUUGCAUUAGAAUUUUGCUACUGUUGUAGAUAGCUCCUAUAUCUACUGCAUAGCCUGAUUUUGAUGAACAACUACUUUCAUUACCACUUCAAACUGCUUAGUAUAGGUGGCUCCCCUCUAACCCCUUAGACCAGUUGCCCCUGCUUUAUCGUCAAGUCUCGAUCUUCUAAUCGACGAGCCAAGACCCGACACCGCUUUUACACCCCCCUUAGUUGUACGACGCUGUAGGGCUACUGUCGGGUACCGAGGGUGACACCUUGCUACGUACCCCGAUGUUAGCAUUGUAGUGAAGUUGACCGACGGUGGUUCUUGUAGGGUGAUUCCUCGUGCCCCACCUACAGCAACGACUCUGUCGUACAACCCUUCAAGCUAGUCCAAUGAGGGUGAUUCCUCCCUAGCCACCUUGACGGUUACAUUGUACGGCAUCCAUCGAGGGUGAUACCUUGGAUCCCUCUGAUGUUUCGACCACAUUGUUACUUGACCGUGCUACUAGGAACAUUGAUGGACAAUGUUUGGCGGAUGGAUUCCCGCGUGAAUGUGACGAGGCAUGGCUGGGCAUUCUGGUCCUUACCACACAUCCUCGAGAUUAAUUAAAAUGCUAGUGGAUUUGGUAUUUUGAUCUGAGUUGGUCGGGAGACCUUUUCACACUAACGUUCUGCGUGAGAGGAGUUAUGGGUCCUCGACGUCGUGGUCUCAGCCGAAUCUCUUCAGACGGCAGCAAUGGAGCAGCGCGCACCCGAGUGGCCCUAAUAUGCAUCGCGCUUGUAAUAAGGGGUGCUAGGACUAACCUCGGCCGCCCACAUAUCAUGCAUGAGCGCAGAGGGAAAGUGGACCCACGUCCCUUUGUGCUUAGGAUUUAGACCGGCGGGCUGGCCUCUCUGUUGAGCUUAGGUGGGGCUGCAACAUGUUGAUGUUUUGAGGUCGGGCAUGACCUAGAAAAGUAUGUUCGGCCAGAGUAUCAUCAAGCGUGUUGGGAACUGUGGUGCACCCCUGCAGGGAAGAACUUAUCUAUUCGAAUAGCCAUGUCCAUGGUUAUAGGACGACUUGGAGUUGUGCCCUAAUCUUAUACAACUACAAUGGUUACUUAACUGGAAUUGUUUGCUCCGGGAUUACUUCCACGAAGGGAGUCGAGGAAGGAUCUUUGAGUGUAACCUCAUAUUAUUAUUGCUGCAAUAAUAUGACUAUUAAUUGUGUUACAUGUUCUACUCUCGUCUAUUGCUGCAAGACCCAGUGAAGAUGCUAGUCUUCGAUAGGACUAGGCCUUCUCUCUCUAUUCUCGCAUUGCUGCAUUCAGAACACAUAUAAACCCCUUCCUUUGAUACUGAUGCAUACUUAACAUAGUUCUGAUGUCAGUCUUGCAAGUACUUUGGAUGAGUACUCACCGUUGCUUUGCUCCCCCUUUUCUCCUUGAUCCAUUGCUUCGACCAGAUGAUGGAGCCGAGGAGAUGGAGUAUCCCGCCAACGACGCCUGCUACCCCGACGAUGCCUAGUACUACGUGGAGGCCUCUGAAGACCAGGAGUAGCUAGGAGGUUCCCAGGCAGGAGGCCUCGCCUUGUUCGAUCGUUGUAUAUUUUGUGCUAGCCUUCUCUAAGGCACCCCAUGUUUAAUGCAUGUACUCAGAUAUUUGUUGCUUCAGCUAACUCGUGUGUUUCUCGAUCUUCUGUAUUCUAGCCCUUGAGGCCCCUGGCUGGUAAUAUGAAGCUUGUAUGUUUUAUUUGUGUCUAGAGUUGUGU
rnacentral:lncRNA from 1 species